UCCUACCUCGGCGACCUUAUGGCCUCCUUCAGUUCAAAGAUCUCAAUGCAGAGAAGAGCCCUUUUCAGCGGACUUAUGCGACUCAG